GGAGAGAUGGCUGAGUGGUUUAAAGCGCACGCCUGGAGAGCGUGAGUAGGCCAAAAGCCUACCGGGGGUUCGAAUCCCCCUCUCUCCGCCA
rnacentral:tRNA from 1 species